UGUUGUGUUGUGGUGGCUGUGUUGUGGAGUUCUCUAUAUCAAUAUACCGAAUAUACCGUGUGUUGUGGGAGACAGAAAUCAAAGUGGGAGGAGACGGAGUGUGCGGGCUUGAUUAGUCUCUUCCGAUUCUGAAUGUCUUUGUAUUACCUUUACCUCAACUAGUUCAAGUUGAAUUAGGGUACCAACUACCAGCACAUGUUUCAUUUUUCUUUGAAAGGCUAAGCCACCAUGUCCCGACCAAAACUUCACAUCCAGCGGAAUGACCUGUUCUGCAAGAACCUUUGUGGUUUCUUUGGAAACCCGCAAUGGGGCGGGUUCUGCUCCAAGUGUUACAAGGAACUAAUACAGUCAAGAUCUGCUCACCAACCUUCCAAUGCAACCUAUAAUGGAGCUGCAAGUUAUGCCAGCAAGCCGACUUUGCCAGUCACCUCUACUGCUGACCCUACGCCCACUAUGUCAGUUGGUCAAGGCUUCAGUGGCUUUGAGGAGAAGAAAAGAAGUCACUGAAAAUGGG